rnacentral:RNase_P_RNA from 1 species
GGGUGCCGGAUCGACUACCGCUGUUGCAAAACAGUGAGGAAAGUCCUGACACCGUACCUCAAGUGAGGGGCUGCUCAUUAACGUGAGAGGGGGAAACCCUAUGGCAACGUACGGACAGAAACGAACCAUCCACCCCUAAGGGAAUGAUGCUUGGCAACCGUCGGCGACGAUGGCUUGAGAGCUGACGUCGGAGUGGACGCGGAUGAAACGAACGACCCGGUCGGUGCAAGGCCAGUAUGGCUGCUUAGUUGAAUGUCGAUGCUCGUGGCCCGCGGUCCGUCCGCGGCACGGGAACAGAACCAGGCUUACAGGCACCC